UACGUAGGGUGCAGGCGUUAAUCGGAAUUACUGGGCGUAAAGCGUGCGCAGGCGGUCUGUUAAGACAGGUGUGAAAUCCCCGAGCUCAACUUGGGAAUUGCGCUUGUUACUGGCAGGCUAGAGUGUGGCAGAGGGGGGUGGAAUUCCAGGUGUAGCAGUGAAAUGCGUAGAUAUCUGGAGGAACACCGAUGGCGAAGGCAGCCCCCUGGGUUAACACUGACGCUCAGGCACGAAAGCGUGGGGAGCAAACAGG
rnacentral:rRNA from 1 species